CUCUUUUUGAAUAUAAUUUAAAGUAGGGCCUGCCCACUGAUUUUUUGAAGGGCCGCAGUAUUUUGACUGUGCAAAGGUAGCAUAAUCAUUAGUUUUUUAAUUGAAAGCUUGUAUGAAUGGUUUGAUGAAAAAAUGACUGUUUCAAUUUUAAUUUUUAGAAUUUUAUUUUUAAGUUAAAAAGCUUAAAUUUUAUUUAAAGACGAGAAGACCCUAUAGAGUUUAACUAAUAUCGUAGUAAAAAAUUUUAGAAUUAAUUUUUUUUUACAGCGUUUAAGUUUUGUUGGGGUGACAAAAAAAUUAAUUUAACUUUUUUUAUAUAAAAACAAGAAUUAUUGAAUAAUUGAUCCGUUUAAACGAUUAAAAGAUUAAAUUACCUUAGGGAUAACAGCGUAAUUUUUUUUAAAAGUUCUUAUUUAAAGGAAAGAUUGCGACCUCGAUGUUGGAUUAAAAUUAAUUUUUGGUGAAGAAGCUAAAAUAUUAGGUCUGUUCGACCUUUGAAAUUUUACAUGAUCUGAGUUU
rnacentral:rRNA from 1 species